AGAGUGGAUCCCGCUCAGAGGAGCGCUGGGCGCAGUCAGAUAGACAUGCAAGCGAGCGAUACCCGGAUUGGAGAGUUUGAAGCCGCAAGGCAGAUGACAAUUCGGUCUGGCGCUGUGCAGGCAGACUGGUGAGGAACACGUGAGUAAUUUACCUCUUAAGUGCGGGAUAGCUUCGCGAAAGCGGAGGUAAUACCCGAUGUGCUUAAAAUGGCUCAGGCUGUUUUAAGUAAAGGUGCUCCGCAAGGGGUGUUGUUUAGAGAUGAGCUCGCGUCCUAUCAGCUAGUUGGUAGGGUAAUGGCCUUCCAAGGCUUUUGACGGGUAGCUGGCCUGAGAGGGUGGUCAGCCACAUGGCGACUGAGACACUGCCCCAACUCCUACGGGAGGCUGCAGUCGAGGAUAUUUAGCAAUGGACGAAAGUCUGACUAUGUGACGCCGCGUGAGGGAUGAAGGAUCUCGGUUCGUAAACCUCUUUCGAUGGGAAAGAAAAUUCCGUUAACU
rnacentral:rRNA from 1 species